UACAGAGGGGGCAAGCGUUGUUCGGAAUUACUGGGCGUAAAGGGCGCGUAGGCGGCCUGUUAAGUCGGACGUGAAAUCCCUCGGCUCAACCGGGGAACUGCGUCCGAUACUGGCGGGCUUGAAUUCGGGAGAGGGAUGUGGAAUUCCAGGUGUAGCGGUGAAAUGCGUAGAUAUCUGGAGGAACACCGGUGGCGAAGGCGGCAUCCUGGACCGACAUUGACGCUGAGGCGCGAAAGCGUGGGGAGCAAACAGG
rnacentral:rRNA from 1 species